rnacentral:rRNA from 1 species
GAUGAACGCUGGCGGCGUGCCUAAUACAUGCAAGUCGAGCGAACAGACGAGGAGCUUGCUCCUUUGACGUUAGCGGCGGACGGGUGAGUAACACGUGGAUAACCUACCUAUAAGACUGGGAUAACUUCGGGAAACCGGAGCUAAUACCGGAUAACAUGUUGAACCGCAUGGUUCAACAGUGAAAGACGGUCUUGCUGUCACUUAUAGAUGGAUCCGCGCCGCAUUAGCUAGUUGGUAAGGUAACGGCUUACCAAGGCAACGAUGCGUAGCCGACCUGAGGGGGUGAUCGGCCACACUGGAACUGAGACACGGUCAGACUCCUACGGGAGGCAGCAGUAGGGAAUCUUCCGCAAUGGGCGAAAGCCUGACGGAGCAACGCCGCGUGAGUGAAGAAGGUCUUCGGAUCGUAAAACUCUGUUAUUAGGGAAGAACAAAUGUGUAAGUAACUAUGCACGUCUUGACGGUACCUAAUCAGAAAGCCACGGCUAACUACGUG